rnacentral:rRNA from 1 species
CCUACGGGAGGCAGCAGUGAGGAAUAUUGGUCAAUGGGCGCUAGCCUGAACCAGCCAAGUAGCGUGAAGGAUGACUGCCCUAUGGGUUGUAAACUUCUUUUAUAUGGGAAUAAAGUGCAGUAUGUAUACUGCUUUGCAUGUACCUUAUGAAUAAGGAUCGGCUAACUCCGUGCCAGCAGCCGCGGUAAUACGGAGGAUCCGAGCGUUAUCCGGAUUUAUUGGGUUUAAAGGGAGCGUAGGCGGGUUGUUAAGUCAGUUGUGAAAGUUUGCGGCUCAACCGUAAAAGUGCCGUUGAUACUGGCAGCCUUGAGUACAGUAGAGGUAGGCGGAAUUCGUGGUGUAGCGGUGAAAUGCUUAGAUAUCACGAAGAACUCCGAUUGCGAAGGCAGCCUGCUGGACUGUAACUGACGCUGAUGCUCGAAAGUGUGGGUAUCAAACAGGAUUAGAUACCCGAGUAGUC